GAUGAACGCUAGCGGCAGGCUUAACACAUGCAAGUCGAGGGGUAGAGGAAGCUUGCUUCCUUGAGACCGGCGCACGGGUGCGUAACGCGUAUGCAAUCUACCUUAUACAGGGGGAUAGCCCAGAGAAAUUUGGAUUAAUACCCCAUAGUAUAAUUGAAUGGCAUCAUUUAAUUAUUAAAGUUCCAACGGUAUAAGAUGAGCAUGCGUCCCAUUAGCUAGUUGGUGUGGUAACGGCACACCAAGGCGACGAUGGGUAGGGGUCCUGAGAGGGAGAUCCCCCACACUGGUACUGAGACACGGACCAGACUCCUACGGGAGGCAGCAGUGAGGAAUAUUGGUCAAUGGGCGCAAGCCUGAACCAGCCAUGCCGCGUGCAGGAUGACGGUCCUAUGGAUUGUAAACUGCUUUUGACAGGAAGAAACACUCCCUCGUGAGGGAGCUUGACGGUACUGUAAGAAUAAGGAUCGGCUAACUCCGUGCCAGCAGCCGCGGUAAUC
rnacentral:rRNA from 1 species